rnacentral:rRNA from 1 species
UACGUAGGGUGCGAGCGUUAAUCGGAAUUACUGGGCGUAAAGCGUGCGCAGGCGGUUGUGCAAGACAGAUGUGAAAUCUUUGGGCUUAAUUUGGGAACUGCAUUUGUGACUGCACGGCUGGAGUGCGGCAGAGGGGGAUGGAAUUCCGCGUGUAGCAGUGAAAUGCGUAGAUAUGUGGAGGAACAUUGAUGGCGAAGGCAAUCUUUUGGGCCUGCACUGACGCUCAUGCACGAAAGCGUGGGGAGCAAACAGG